AACAUUGCUCUCAUACCUAAGAAAGAGGGGGCGGAGAGCAUCUCAGACUUUCGUCCCAUUAGCCUCAUUCAUGCCAUUGCGAAGAUCCUCACCAAGGUGUUGGCUACGCGCCUAGCUCCUCAUAUGAACAAUCUUGUAUCCACUGCCCAAAGCGCAUUCAUGAAGAAAAGAAGUAUCCACGACAACUUCAUGUAUGUCAGAAAUUUGGCAAGGAAGCUCCACAGAAACCGUACACCGACCCUGCUAUUCAAACUUGACAUCAAGAAGGCUUUCGACUCAGUGCGAUGGGACUUCCUUAUGGACCUGUUGAGACACCUCGGGUUCCCGACCAGAUUUCGAGAUUGGAUUUCUGCACUCCUCUCCACGGCCACCUCGAGGGUUUUGAUCAAUGGGGUGGUGGGCGACCCGUUGAAGCACGGUUGUGGUCUCCGGCAGGGAGAUUCACUAUCCCCGCUCCUCUUCGUUCUGGCUAUCGACCCCCUGCACCACCUUCUCAACAAGGCCACCUCACAAGGGCACCUCCACCCUAUUGGUGGAAGAGCACCGACCAUCAGGACGUCUUUAUACGUAGACGAUGCUGCCAUCUUUGUCAGGCCCAUGAGAGAGGACGUCCAAUUUCUUGCUUCCUCCUUAACCGCUUUCGGAGAAGUGACCGGCCUGGUUACUAACUGUGCUAAAAGCAUGGUGGCUCCCAUUCGGUGUGAAAACAUAAAUCUGGACGACAUCCUGCAAGCCUUCCCGGCGGUGCGCUCCACUUUCCCGAUGCGAUACCUUGGUCUU
rnacentral:rRNA from 1 species